GCGUACCGAGGAAAGUGUGGUGCCCUUUGGGGCUUAAUAGGGAAUCCCGUUAAAAUCGGGAGCGGGCCCGCCGCUGUGACCCUGCCCUUUUCCAUUUGGAAAAGGGAACUCUCUUAGCAUUUUUGUGCCACUGUUCGGAUGAUCUACGGACGGGAAGGUCGCUAAGAGGGCAGGGGAGCCAGAAGACCUGCCGCAGACACUGUGUCUCA
rnacentral:ncRNA from 2 species